CUUUUAUUUUAGUCUCCCAAACCCAUCUGCCAUGGUGAAAUAGCAAAUACUUCAUAAAUAGCCUUAACAAUAAUUUACUUCACACUGUAACACAUUUUAACUCUUCCCUUAUGUUUAGCAUUCAUAAUUGGUGUAUGAAUUAAUAUCUCUCGCUAUACUUGCAUGGAUACCAUAUUAUUCAUAAUGAAGCAAAACAAUGAAUCCGUCCAAUGUGUCAAAACAUAUUUACCAGCUGUUUAUGUAAAAUAUUUUUUUCUGAAAUCACUGUGGAGGAACUCUUUAUGCUUUUGUCAAAUGCACUGGAAGGUUUUCGAGCAUGAACAUCCUGUUUAAGGUGUUUCAAAAUUCUGGACUAGGCCUCUCUAAAACCUUUGUUUUGUUCUUUAUUUGUUUUUUUUUUCUUUAUUGAACCAUUUAUAGGUGGACUCGCGGGUGUAUUAGCAGAAUUCAUGGUUCCAUCAAUUACAGCAAGUCAUCCAGGUCCUGAAGAUACAAAGCAGCCUCAGACCAUCACACUACCACCGCCAUGUUUGACUGUUGCUAUGAUGUUUUUGUUUUUUUUGUUUUUUUAAUGCUCUGUUAUUUUUAUGUCAGAUUUAACUUGACUUAAACCUUCCAAAGAGUGAAACUUUUUCUCUUGUCAGUCCACAGAGUAUAAAAGUCUUGGGGAUCAUCGAGAUCUUUUUUUUUUUUUGGCAAAUGCUAGACGAACCUUUGAGUUCUUUUUGAUCAGCAGUGAUUUUGGCCGUACAAUUCUCCCAUGGAUGCGAUUUUUGCCCAGUCUCUUUCUAAUUUUUGAAUCAUGAACUCUGACCUUGACCUUAAGCGAGGCCUGCAAUUCUUUAGAUGUUGUUCUGGGUUCUUUUUAGAUCUACUGGAUGAGCAGUGUUGGGGAGUAACAGAAUACAUGUACCGCCGUUACGUAUUUAAAAUACAAAAUAUGAGUAACAGUUACCAUUCAAAAAGGUGGUAUUCAGAAUACAGUUACUUUGUUGAAAUAAAGGGAUUACACGGCGGUCUUUUCCUGUUUCAUAUUUUAGGCUAUGCUAUCUCUAUUUUUGGUAAUUCCAUGCCGGUGGAAACCCAAACAAAAGAGGCUCUAAUGCCUGUGUCUCAGUCUUGUGUCUUAUAAUGACGUAAAGAAAUAUUUUUAAAAAUGAUUUAAUAUGAAGGCAAUAGGCAGAGUCUUACAGGCAUUUCCCUAAAGAAUGCAGCCUGAUGGGUAGUGUAGUCCG
ensembl:lncRNA